AACGAACGCUGGCGGCAGGCUUAACACAUGCCAGUCGAGCGAGACCUUCGGGUCUAGCGGCGGACGGGUGAGUCACGCGUGGGAACGUGCCCUUCUCUACGGAAUAGCUCCGGGAAACUGGGAGUAAUACCGUAUACGCCCUUUUGGGGAAAGAUUUAUCGGAGAAGGAUCGGCCCGCGUUGGAUUCGGUAGUUGUUGGGGUAAUGGCCCACCAAGCCGACGAUCCAUAGCUGGUUUGAGAGGAUGAUCAGCCACACUGGGAUUGAGACACGGCCCAGAAUCCUACGGGAGGCAGCAGUGGGGAAUCGUAGACAAUGGGGGCAACCAUGAUCGAGCCAUGACGGGUGAGUGAUGAAGGCCGUAGGGUUGUAAAGCUCUUUCAGCUGGGAAGAUAAUGACGGUACCAGCAGAAGAAGCCCCGGCUAACUCCGUG
rnacentral:rRNA from 1 species